CCUACGGGAGGCAGCAGUGGGGAAUAUUGGACAAUGGGCGCAAGCCUGAUCCAGCCAUACCGCGUGGGUGAAGAAGGCCUUCGGGUUGUAAAGCCCUUUUGUUGGGAAAGCGGUACCCAAAGAAUAAGCACCGGCUAACUUCGUGCCAGCAGCCGCGGUAAUACGAAGGGUGCAAGCGUUACUCGGAAUUACUGGGCGUAAAGCGUGCGUAGGUGGUGGUUUAAGUCUGUUGUGAAAGCCCUGGGCUCAACCUGGGAAUUGCAGUGGAAACUGGAUCACUAGAGUGUGGUAGAGGAUAGUGGAAUUUCCGGUGUAGCAGUGAAAUGCGUAGAGAUCGGAAGGAACAUCUGUGGCGAAGGCGACUAUCUGGGCCAAACUGACACUGAGGCACGAAAGCGUGGGGAGCAAACAGGAUUAGAUACCCUUGUAGUC
rnacentral:rRNA from 1 species